GGCUCGGUGGUGGACUCGGUCCGCAUCUGCACCAAUCAAAACUAAACCUCAUGUGGGACAGGAGACGCCCGUUCGACUCGGGCCCGAGCCA